AAUAGAUACCCAGGUAGUCCUAGCCUUAAACGAUGGGUACUGGGUAGAAAGCGCUCCGAUAGCGCCUUCUGCCGUAGCGAAAGUGUUAAGUACCCCGCCUGGGGAGUAUGGUCGCAAGGCUGAAACUCAAAGGAAUUGACGGGGGCUCACACCAGCGGUGGAGCAUGUGGCUUAAUUCGAGGCUACGCGAAGAACCUUAUCCUAGAUUUGACAUGCACGGAUUAGUCGGUGGAAACAUCGGUGACGCGGCUUGCCGUGGAACGUGCACAGGUGCUGCAUGGCUGUCGUCAGCUCGUGUUGUGAGAUGUCGGGUUAAGUCCCUUAACGAGCGAAACCUUUGUCCUUAGUUACCAGCGGUUCGGCCGGGCACUCUAAGGAGACUGGCCGGUGUCAAGCCGGAGGAAGGUGGAGAUGACGUCAAGUCCUCAUGGCCUUUAUGUCUAGGGCUGCACACGUGCUACGAAUGGGGGGUACAAAGGGAAGCAAGUUCGCGAGGACAAGCAAAUCCCAAAAAGCCUCCCUCAGUUCGGAUUGCAGG
rnacentral:rRNA from 1 species